rnacentral:lncRNA from 1 species
GUAACAAACCCGACCAGUAUCCAUGAGAACUCCGUUUUGAUCCCUGGCCUUGUUCAGUGGGUUAAGGAUACGAUGUUGCUUCAAACUGUGGUGUAGGCUGGCAGUUGCAGGUCUGAUUGGACCCCUAGCCUGUGAACUUCCAUAUGCUGCAGGUGUGGCCAUAAAAAAGAAAAAAAAAAAAGAAAAAUGUACUAAAAGACAGACUUUGUAACAAUGUAAUUGCAGGCAUGACAUCCCAUCAUUUGCCAUAUUCUAUUGGUUAGAAACAGGUCAAAAGUCCCAGAGACAGUCAAGGGGAGGGGGGUCAUAAAAGGACAUAAAUAUUAGAAGAUGAGGAUUAUUGGGGGUCAUCUUAUUUUUUCUGCCACAGAAGGGAACUUGCUUAGCCCAAUAAAGAGCAUUUAUGAAAAACCUAUAAAUAACAUCUUAAUGGUGAAAGAAUGACUGCCUUCCUCCAAGAUUGGGAGCAAGGAGUUCCCUGGCGGCUCAGCAGAAGGUAAGUAUGUCUCUGCUCUCACCAUUUCUGUUCAACAUUGUACUAGAGAUGAUAGCUAGUGCAAUUAGGGGGAAAAAAAAGACAUCUGCAUUGGAAAGGAAGAAAUAAAGCUGUCUUGGGGUUCCCGUGGUGCAGCAGAAACGAAUCCGACUAGGAACCAUGAGGUUGCGGGUUCGAUCUCUGGCCUCAUGGGUUAAGGAUCCGGCGUUGCUGUGAGCUGUGGUGUAGGUUGCGGAUGCAGCCUUCCUCCAUAUGCUGUGGGAGCGGCUCAAGAAAUGGCAAAAAGACAAUAAAAUAAAAUACUAAAUGUGGAGUUCCUGUUGUGGUGCAAUGGAAACAAAUCCGACUAGGAACCAUGAACCAUGAGGUUUCGGGUUUGAUCCCUAGCCUUGCUCAGUGGAUUAAGGAUCCAGCGUUGCUGUGAGCUGUGGUGUAGGUCGCAGACUUGACUCAGAUCUGUCGUUGCUGUGCCUGUGAUGUAGGCCAGCGGCUACAGCUUCCAUUCCACCCCUAGCCUGGGAACCUCCAUAUGGUGUGGGUGCGGCCCUAAAAAGACCAAAAAAAAAAUCCCUAUGAACCUCAGGGAACCUCUCAGUCAAACCAUAGGACUUCUAGGAAGCUUAAAAAUCUUGUCCUUCAGUCAUCUUAGCAAGAGCCCAAGGUAGAAAGUGUUUAUCUUGAAAAGAUCUCUGGGAGUUGUGGCUCAGCAGAAACGAAUCAGACUACGAACCAUGAGGUUGUGGGUUCGAACCAGCAUUGCCGUGAGCUGUGGUCUAGGUCAUAGAUGCGGCUCGGAUCUGGCAUUGCUGUGGCUGUGGUGUAGGCCAGCAGCUGUAGCUCCGAUUGGACCCCUAGCCUGGGAACCUCCAUAUGCUGAAUGUGCAGCCCUAAAAAGCAAAUAAAAUAAAAAA